AUUGAACGCUGGCGGCAUGCCUUACACAUGCAAGUCGAACGGUAACGCGGGGCAACCUGGCGACGAGUGGCGAACGGGUGAGUAAUGCAUCGGAACGUGCCCAGUAGUGGGGGAUAGCCCGGCGAAAGCCGGAUUAAUACCGCAUACGACCUACGGGUGAAAGGGGGGGAUCGCAGGACCUCUCGCUAUUGGAGCGGCCGAUGUCAGAUUAGGUAGUUGGUGGGUAAAGGCCUACCAAGCCGACGAUCUGUAGCUGGUCUGAGAGGACGACCAGCCACACUGGGACUGAGAGACGGCCCAGACUCCUACGGGAGGCAGCAGUGGGGAAUUUUGGACAAUGGGCGCAAGCCUGAUCCAGCCAUGCCGCGUGCGGGAAGAAGGCCUUCGGGUUGUAAACCGCUUUUGUCAGGGAAGAAAUCCUUUGGGUUAAUACCUCGGGGGGAUGACGGUACCUGAAGAAUAAGCACCGGCUAACUCCGUG
rnacentral:rRNA from 1 species